rnacentral:lncRNA from 1 species
ACCCAAGUCCCUAGGGGCAGCUUCUUAGUAUGUAUUCUCUGAAACAAUCCCAUGUAGAAGCUCUUUCCAAUAAGCUAAAUUUUAUAGAUGUGUUAUUUUCUGAUGAAAAGUUAAAUCCUCUGGUAUGUGUCACAUCUUGUCUUCUCAUCUCCUGCUGGCCUUUAUGUGAUUGAAUACUAUUCAGAACUUGACAUUAUCAUCCAGGUAGUAGGAGUAAAUAAAAGGUAAACUCCUAAGGUUGGGGACUGUGUCCUCUGAGUUCAGAGGAAGGAAGAGGAAGAAAGAUACCUCCCUUUUCUUUCUACUUUUAAAAUAAAGUUUUAGAUUCACUAAAUAGUAUGGUCCAUUUGUCAUAAUUAAUGAACCAAUAUUGAUACAUAUAAUUAUUAACUGAAGUCCACACUUAGAUUCCC